AUUGAACGCUGGCGGCAGGCUUAACACAUGCAAGUCGAGCGGGGGAAGGUAGCUUGCUACCGGACCUAGCGGCGGACGGGUGAGUAAUGCUUAGGAAUCUGCCUAUUAGUGGGGGACAACAUCUCGAAAGGGAUGCUAAUACCGCAUACGUCCUACGGGAGAAAGCAGGGGAUCUUCGGACCUUGCGCUAAUAGAGGAGCCUAAGUCGGAUUAGCUAGUUGGUGGGGUAAAGGCCUACCAAGGCGACGAUCUGUAGCGGGUCUGAGAGGAUGGUCCGCCACACUGGGACUGAGACACGGCCCAGACUCCUACGGGAGGCAGCAGUGGGGAAUAUUGGACAAUGGGGGGAACCCUGAUCCAGCCAUGCCGCGUGUGUGAAGAAGGCCUUAUGGUUGUAAAGCACUUUAGGCGAGGAGGAGGCUACUUUAGUUAAUACCUAGAGAUAGUGGACGUUACUCGCAGAAUAAGCACCGGCUAACUCUGUGCCAGCCGCCGCAGUAA
rnacentral:rRNA from 1 species